rnacentral:misc_RNA from 1 species
UACGGAGGGUGCAAGCGUUAAUCGGAAUUACUGGGCGUAAAGGGUGCGUAGGUGGUUAUGUAAGUUAUGUGUGAAAUCCCCGGGCUUAACCUGGGAGGGUCAGAUAAUACUGCAAAACUAGAGUAUGAGAGAGGGUAGUGGAAUUUCCGGUGUAGCGGUGAAAUGCGUAGAGAUCGGAAGGAACACCAGUGGCGAAGGCGGCUACCUGGCUUAAUACUGACACUGAGGCACGAAAGCGUGGGGAGCAAACAGG